rnacentral:rRNA from 1 species
CCCUUAGAUGUCCUGGGCUGCACGCGCGCUACACUGACACAUGCAACGAGUUUUUCCUUACCUGAAAGGGUUGGGUAAUCUCCUUGAAAGUGUGUCGUGAUGGGGAUAGAUUAUUGCAAUUAUUAAUCUUCAACGAGGAAUUCCUAGUAAGUGCAAGUCAUCAGCUUGCGCUGAUUACGUCCCUGCCCUUUGUACACACCGCCCGUCGCUACUACCGAUUGAAUGGUUUAGUGAGAUCUCUGGAUUGACGCUGGCUAGGGGGCGACCCUUGGCCAGACUGUUGAGAAACUGCUCAAACUUGAUCAUUUAGAGGAAGUAAAAGUCGUAACA